UACGAGGGGGGCGAGCGUUGUUCGGAAUUAUUGGGCGUAAAGGGUGCGUAGGCGGUUUGGUAAGUCUUAUGUGAAAUCUACAGGCUCAACUUGUAGUCUGCAUGAGAAACUGCCGGGCUUGAGUAUGGGAGAGGUGAGUGGAAUUCCUGGUGUAGCGGUGAAAUGCGUAGAUAUCGGGAGGAACACCUGUGGCGAAAGCGGCUCACUGGACAGUAACUGACGCUGAUGCACGAAAGCUAGGGGAGCAAACAGG
rnacentral:rRNA from 1 species